AGGAAUUUGAUCUUGGAUUUGGCCGACCUGAUUAUGAUGGGAAGUCUAAUGGGCUUGUGGAAUAUCCCAUACCACAGUGGAUUGGGAACUUAAGCAAACUGGAGUCUCUGGCCCUGGAGUCUCAUUAUGUGACCACCUCAACAGACAUUAGCUUCCCUCCUCAACUCAAGUCACUUUGCCUCAGAUGCUCAAAUUUGCGUUGCCUCCCGAGGCUUCCCUCAAGCUUAUCAUCCUUACAUUUGGAAUGUUGCGACUUACUUUGCUCAAUGGAGGAUCUAUCGAAUUUGAAGAAACUAUCAUCUCUCCAUAUUUCGCGUGCUACAAUUACAAAGAUUCAAGACCUUGGUUGUUUGGAGAACCUACGAGAUUUGCAGCUUAUGUCACUUGGACAGGUGGAGAUACUACCUGAUCUGAGCAAUUUAAACAAACUACAGCAUCUUCAAGUAGGAUUUUGUAAUCAUUUGGUUGAGAUUCAAGGUGAACUACCACGGUGUUUGGAUAGAUUGCAUAUUUCUUCAUGUGAUUCUUUACAGAAGUUGCCCGAUCUGUCAAGCUUGAUGGGAGAGCAAGAUGUUGAAAUAAAGGAUUGCAGAAAAUUAAAUGUGGAGACAAUUCAUGGAUUUGUGCAGAAGAAUCCACGAGAUUUGCAGCUUGUGGGCUUUGAACAGCUGCAGAUCCUACUUGAUCUAAGUAAUUUAAAGGAGCUCAAACGUCUUCGAGUAGAAAACUGUUGUUAUCUUGUUGAGAUUCAAGGCGAAUUACCACAAUCUUUGGAAGAAUUGGAGAUUUCUUCUUGUGAAUCUUUACAAAAGUUGCCUGAUCUGUCAACCUUACAGGGACUGCAAAGGGUAAAAAUGUAUCGUUGCGGGAAAUUGAAAAAAGACGAAAUUCGUUGGCUUUGCUUGAAGAAGGGGGUCGAAUUUGUGGGACAAUACAAUUAAUGGUCGAAUUUGUGGGAUAAUGCAGUUAAUGUUCGAAUUUGUGGGAGAAUAUAAUUAAUCUGUUACUGAAUCUGAAUCUGAGGGAGAAGACCGACAAACCUGAAUCUGAGGGAGAAGAUGAUGGAUAAGUGCACACUGCUCUUGAAAGCUUCUUGAUCCACGACCACAAAUUGUUCCCUUGUGUUCAAACUUUAAACGAAUUGAGUUUAUUUUCCAGGAAAGGUGUGCUUCUUAGUGGGAUUUGCCAAUGUUAUGGGGAAGUCAUAAAACGAAGAAAGAUGAAUUUCGCUUGGGUAGCUGCAUCAAUAGCUGGUGCGGCCAAACUUCUGUUUGUGACAGGAGAAGGGAACUAUUUAGCUUCUCCAAGGGAGUUGCGGCUAAUUAGGCAGCUGUACAAAUGAAGACCGAAUAAAGGAAAAUGAAGAUGACAUGCAAUGUUGACUGGUUCUCUUACACAAUCUUGAGGUGAUAAACU